GAUGAACGCUAGCUACAGGCUUAACACAUGCAAGUCGAGGGGAAACGAUAGAGAAAGCUUGCUUUUUCUAGGCGUCGACCGGCGCACGGGUGAGUAACGCGUAUCCAACCUGCCCACCACUUGGGGAUAACCUUGCGAAAGUAAGACUAAUACCCAAUGACGUCUCUAGAAGACAUCUGAAAGAGAUUAAAGAUUUAUCGGUGAUGGAUGGGGAUGCGUCUGAUUAGCUUGUUGGCGGGGUAACGGCCCACCAAGGCGACGAUCAGUAGGGGUUCUGAGAGGAAGGUCCCCCACAUUGGAACUGAGACACGGUCCAAACUCCUACGGGAGGCAGCAGCGAGGAAUAUUGGUCAAUGGACGAGAGUCUGAACCAGCCAAGUAGCGUGCAGGAUGACGGCCCUAUGGGUUGUAAACUGCUUUAUAAGGGAAUAAAGUGAGUCUCGUGAGACUUUUUGCAUGUACCUUAUGAAUAAGGACCGGCUAAUUCCGUG
rnacentral:rRNA from 1 species